GCUAAUACCGCAUACGUCCUACGGGAGAAAGCAGGGGACCUUCGGGCCUUGCGCUAUCAGAUGAGCCUAGGUCGGAUUAGCUAGUUGGUGAGGUAAUGGCUCACCAAGGCGACGAUCCGUAACUGGUCUGAGAGGAUGAUCCAGUCACACUGGAACUGAGACACGGUCCAGACUCCUACGGGAGGCAGCAGUGGGGAAUAUUGGACAAUGGGCGAAAGCCUGAUCCAGCCAUGCCGCGUGUGUGAAGAAGGUCUUCGGAUUGUAAAGCACUUUAAGUUGGGAGGAAGGGCAUAACCUAAUACGUUAGUGUUUGACGUACCGACAGAAAAGCCCGGCU
rnacentral:rRNA from 1 species